UACGGGGGGGGGCUAGUGUUAUUCGUAAUGAUUGGGCGUAAAGGGUCUUUAGGUGAUUUGGCAAGUUAUUAAUCAAAUAACAAGUUACAAGCUUGUGAAUUUGGGUUUUAAUACUAUCUUAAUAGAGUUCGAAAUAGGAUUGCGGUACUCUCAAUGUAGAGGUAAAAUUCAUGAAUAUUGAUGAGGACCACCAAUAGGCGAAGGCGGUAAUCUGGUUCGAUACUGACGCUGAAAGGCUAAAGCAUGGGGAGCAAACGGG
rnacentral:rRNA from 1 species